GGGGGAUAAAGCGGCAAAUAAAUCUCACUUAUGGAGCCAAAAAGAAAACCUGCUGGGCAUAUCAAUUAUUUAUAAUUAUUGUUAAUUUUCAAAGCAAGCAGCCAAGCAAACAAACAGGAAAAAAGGAGCACGGAAAAACAAGGAAAACCACAAAGAGAACCUCAAUUAAAAUUCAAAUUAGAGCUUGGGAAAUUCGCUCUGCCUGGCGGUAAAAGUGCGAAAACUUAGAACCACAGGGAGGUGAACCAUUCACCACCUCGUCCGCAUUUUCCUCCGCAGGAAAACUAACUGCCUAAAAUGAAAUAUGAACCCGAUGGGGGUGGGAAAACCCGACUUGCUCAGACAUGGACUACUAAUAAGAAAUUUGUGAACUUUGCAAA